ensembl:lncRNA
GUAGCCUAGUAAGCACGACUUUUAACAGUGCAGCAUUUGGCCACAAGAGCGCGCCUGAGCUACAUUAGUGGCGGUGAACAUGCCAAAAUCUCCUUUCUCUUGUCCUAAAAAUUGUGCACAAAAAAAGCAUUCCAUUCCAAACACUGUCAAAGCCACACCGGAGGCUGUCAGCAUCUCUCUCUGUCUCGCACGAUGAUCCCUGAAAAGCCAGAUGUCGUACACACCCUUGCUUUUUAUUUACUUUUUCUGUCGUUCGGCUUCUUCUUCUUUGGACUUGAUAUGGCGGUUGGCAACCAACUGGAGAGUGGACCUCAGUUCAUCUUUCAAUCACCCACGUGGGUAUAUGCUCCUAAAAACCAAUGAGGAGAUGGGAGAGGCAGGACUUGCAGUGCUUCGAGCGUCACAAAUAGAACCAAGUUCAUUUUAUUUUAUUUUGCAGCGCGUGCAACACGUCUGGUCUGGUCAGCAUGUUAGACCAUGUACAUAGCUCACUAUUCCCUUUGAUAUUUUAGCAAUCUGUCUCAUUGCAAGUGAAUUGGGAAAGUGAAAACAGCAAGGCUAGCCUAAUUAUAUGCUGGCAGCGCACGCCAAGCUGUCUUUUCCCUAUCUUUCUCUAGGGACCUCCAUGAAAGAUGGCAAGUUGCGACAGAUGUAGCAGAAUGGGGAGUGAACAUGGAUGUUUUCCUACAGGAAGCUGCGAUUCGAGCCAAAUGUUGCAUUUUUAAUCCUAGCUGAUAGGAUUGAGAGCCUGGAAGACCAGAUGAGAAUGUUGCAGACAGUCUUUCUGGUGGAACCCAGAUCGUUUGUGUUACUUACUCUGAUUAAUCCAUCAUUAAGGGGAUUUUAGACCGCUUCCCAUUUCUCAACUAUUAAUCAAGAUUAGGAUUUCGCUCUCCAAACUUUUGUAGUUUAUCUUUGAAAUAAUUUACAUGCAACUGUAUCACCCCUUCUCUCUAAGCCAGUGAACAGGCACAAGACAAGGUUUAGGUGAAAUUGGCCUCCUCUCUGCUGAGGGAGAUCUUAUUAAAAACCCAUAUUUAAAAAAAAUAUUUUUGAGAUCCUCUUAACAAUCAUAUGAAAUGGUCCUCAGAUACGAUACGUUUUGCCUAUCAUUUUGCCAUUUCAUCAUUUUGUUAUUUGGCCAUUCACAUCAGGUUUAUGAUAAUUUCAUAGUGGGUAAAGUGAUACUUAAGGAUUUUGGCAAUGAAGCCCUUUACAGUAUCUACUUCCACGAGUCAGAUGAACUCAUGGAUACCAUUUUUAUGUCCCUGUAACCUGUACGGAGGUAGUUAUGUGAGCCAAUGCUAAUUAGCGUUAGCACAAUGACGGAGUCUAUGGUAUCUGCUAGCAGUUACCAUAGACCUCUAGUCUAUGCACCAACGCUAGUUAGCAACUUCCUUCAAACUGCACACAGAGACACAAAAAUGGUAUCCACAAGUACAUCUGACUCUGGGGAAAGUAGAUAAAGGGCUUCAAAAUCCUGAAGUAUCCCUUUAAAGUCGUGGUCUGCCCACCCACUAUAUCUAACUAUAAGAGGAGCUAAUGCAGUCAUCACUAUGGACAUCAUUAAGCUACUCUACUCUGUCGGCUGUAAUGAAUUGCUCCCGCACAGUAGGAAUUAAGUGUGUCAGUUGUACUGUAGCUACUGUGUGAUUGAGCUGUACUGUGGUAGGUCUAUAGAAUUGUAUGAUAGUGAAUUAUAGGAUCUCUAUGGGUAGGUCUGUGUGUGUGUCAGCUGUACUGUAGGACUGUGUGUGUGUGUCAGUGUAUUUCAGCCAUAUGGCAGCACUGUGUGCUACAUUGUUCCUUUAAUCAGCUGUUCUGAAGGCCCCCUCCAGUAAAACCAUGUUCCUAUUCGGCCUGGUAAUAAAGAAAUGCAGCGGCCAUAACUAAAGCCAAACAAGUUUCUUGUGUGUGUGUGUCCGCACGGCAAGCAUUUGUACAUUCUCUAUGCCAAAACAGUACAGAGUUACUGUAGUCACUCACCUUUCUAGUCAUCUUGAAACAGCUAGGUCUAGUCUUGAAGUCACUUAGGGGAAAUUCAACGGUAAUGGAAUUAUGCUUUGACUCAGGUAUUUCACUGUAAAAUCUAUGCCAAACAAAAAUCAUUGAUUUCAAAGUUUAACAACCCAUACAACUCUAUGCACAAGGACUACUUUGAACAAUUUACACAGUAUAUUUUACAAUAACACAUUUACUGGAUGAUCUGUGCCGAUGCAAUGUUUGGUAACAGAAUUAUGGUAAAAUCUCCCUCAGUUUUUUAUGCGACCACGUUUUCAAAAAAUCUGUUCCGAAUUAAUAUUCAAAGAUGUCUGCAGAAAGAAUGAGGUGGUGUCAGCUAUAGGGCUGUGGCGGUCUUGGAAUUGGAGGUUACAGUAAUUGGCCAGGCCAAUAUACACGGUCAAUGACAUAACUGUUAAAGGUAGGCUUUAUUUCUGCAGCUUCUCUAUUACCAUUACACAUCGUUAUUAUCAGUAGCAUUUCAUUAUUUUUAUUACCUUAUUAACUCUAAAUAUUAGUCUCGUAUACAAAUUAAGAAAUGUCAGAAAGGAGAGGAUUGUCACAUUUUUAUAUUGACACAACUUAACACAGGCUAUCGGCCUCAAAAGAAACGUGCAAUUUCGCUAUUGCAUUACACAUCGUUACUGGUUUCUUUCCUUUUUCAUUUAUUUUUCGGAUUGUUUCUGAUGUGUCCAUUUUGUUUAAAUGUGUGUUACUGUUGUCUUAGGCUUUUAAGACCCUAUGUAAAAAAAAAAAAACUUAAAAAAAAAAAAUUCUGUUUGUAUACUUGUUUACAUGGAUGCUUCUUAAUAAAACGUAUUUUAAACCAGCCAUUACACUUUGUUAUUAUCAUGCCAUUUCAUUAUUAUUAUUCAGGUUAUUAAUAAUAAAUAUUAAUUUACAAAUUAAGAAAUGCCUGGUUGGACAGAAUUGGUCACAUUUUCGUAUUGACACAGCAUGACAGAGUGAAAAUAAAGAUGUAUGCCCACCUUGUCCUUGUCUGUUAACUUUUCUAUAUAUAACAUUGUUCAAUCUGGAUCCUAUUUUGAUGCUAAAACCAUUCUCACGAAGUCCGAUGUGUUUUUCCCCCACUUUAACCUAAAUAUUUGCAUAACUUCACAAACCCUACUGUUGCUGCCAUUUGAUGGCAGUGGCAUUGGCAUAUGUUCUUCAAAGAGAGCAUGACGUAAUGGGCGGCAGGUACCCUAGUGGUUAGAGCGUUGGACUAGCGUUGGAUCGAAUCCCCAAGCUGACAAGGUAAAAAUCUGUCGUUCUGCCCCUGAACAAGGCAGUUAACCCACUGUUCCUGGGCCGUCAUUGAAAAUAGGAAUUUGUUCUUAACUGAACUUAACUUUGCCUAGUUUAAAUAAAGGUUACAUUUUUGGGGGGAGAAAUAACGUAGCAUAAGUUCCUGGAAAUAUGCCUUUUACCAGAUCAGAUCAUGCUAGGAGCGUCCAGACAGGCUACUUUAUGAAACUUUCUGAAUGGACGUAUAGGCCUAUAUUGUUACAAAUGACGAGUCACCCAUGAUUCACCAGACAAUAUUUUGAAAGAGGAAGCAAACUAUUUUAAGCAUAUGUUUUCAUUUCAGUCUCC